UACGGAGGGAGCUAGCGUUAUUCGGAAUUACUGGGCGUAAAGCGCACGUAGGCGGCUUUGUAAGUUAGAGGUGAAAGCCUGGAGCUCAACUCCAGAACUGCCUUUAAGACUGCAUCGCUUGAAUCCAGGAGAGGUGAGUGGAAUUCCGAGUGUAGAGGUGAAAUUCGUAGAUAUUCGGAAGAACACCAGUGGCGAAGGCGGCUCACUGGACUGGUACUGACGCUGAGACGCGAAAGCGUGGGGAGCAAACAGG
rnacentral:rRNA from 1 species